ACAAACGCUGGCGGGGUGCAUGAGACAUGCAAGUCGAACGGGGUUGAGCGGGCUUGCUCGAUCAACCUAGUGGCGGACGGCCGAGUAACGCGUAGGUGACCUACCCGGAAGUGGGGAAUAACUGCCCGAAAGGGUGGCUAAUACCGCAUGUGGUCGGCGAUUCACUUCGCCGCCUAAAGCCGUAAGGCGCUUCCGGCGGGGCCUGCGUCCGAUUAGCUAGUUGGUGGGGUAAUGGCUCACCAAGGCGACGAUCGGUAGCUGGUCUGAGAGGAUGAUCAGCCAGACUGGGACUGAGAUACGGCCCAGACUCCUACGGGAGGCAGCAGUAGGGAAUUUUCCACAAUGGGCGCAAGCCUGAUGGAGCAACACCGCGUGCAGGAUGAAGGCCUUAGGGUUGUAAACUGCUUUUAAUAGUGACGAUUAUGACGGUAGCUAUUGAAUAAGGGUCGGCUAACUACGUGCCA
rnacentral:rRNA from 1 species